UACAGAGGGGGCAAGCGUUGCUCGGAAUCAUUGGGCGUAAAGCGCACGUAGGCGGCUUCGCAAGUCGGAUGUGAAAUCCCUCGGCUCAACCGAGGACGUGCAUCCGAAACUGCGAAGCUUGAGUACUGAAGAGGAUCGCGGAAUUCCCGGUGUAGAGGUGAAAUUCGUAGAUAUCGGGAGGAACACCAGUGGCGAAGGCGGCGAUCUGGGCAGUUACUGACGCUGAGGUGCGAAAGCGUGGGGAGCAAACAGG
rnacentral:rRNA from 1 species